rfam:Ricinus communis cultivar Hale ctg_1100012362314, whole genome shotgun sequence.
AGUCCAUAGUGUGGGCAGCAUCGCAGUAGGUCGUUGUACCUCUCCCAAGUGUCGUACAUUAACUCAUCGUCAAACUGCACAAAAGAAGAUAUAUCAUUUCUAAGUUU